CCUACGGGCGGCAGCAGUAGGGAAUAUUGCUCAAUGGGGGAAACCCUGAAGCAGCAACGCCGCGUGAGGGAUGGAGGUUUUCGGAUUGUAAACCCCUUUUGUUAGAGAAGAAAAUGACGGUAUGUAACGAAUAAUCACCGGCUAACUACGUACCAGCAGCCGCGGUAAUACUGAGGGUGCACGCGUUACUCGGAAUGACUGGGGGUAAAGAGAGCGUAGGCGGGAUAGCAAGUCUGAUGUGAAAUCCUAUGGCUUAACCAUAGAACUGCAUUUGAAACUGUUAUUCUAGAGUAGGGGAGAGGUAGGUGGAAUUCUUGGUGUAGCGGUGAAAUGCGUAGAGAUCAAGAGGAAUACUCAUUGCGAAGGCGGCAUGCUAGAACAUAACUGACGCUGAGGCGCGAAAGCGUGGGGAGCAAACAGGAUUAGAUACCCUGGUAGUC
rnacentral:rRNA from 1 species